rnacentral:rRNA from 1 species
UGCAGUCGAACGGCAGCACGGGUGCUUGCACCUGGUGGCGAGUGGCGAACGGGUGAGUAAUACAUCGGAACAUGUCCUGUAGUGGGGGAUAGCCCGGCGAAAGCCGGAUUAAUACCGCAUACGAUCCAUGGAUGAAAGCGGGGGACCUUCGGGCCUCGCGCUAUAGGGUUGGCCGAUGGCUGAUUAGCUAGUUGGUGGGGUAAAGGCCUACCAAGGCGACGAUCAGUAGCUGGUCUGAGAGGACGACCAGCCACACUGGGACUGAGACACGGCCCAGACUCCUACGGGAGGCAGCAGUGGGGAAUUUUGGACAAUGGGCGAAAGCCUGAUCCAGCAAUGCCGCGUGUGUGAAGAAGGCCUUCGGGUUGUAAAGCACUUUUGUCCGGAAAGAAAUCCUUGGCUCUAAUACAGUCGGGGGAUGACGGUACCGGAAGAAUAAGCACCGGCUAACUACGUGCCAGCAGCC